AUUGAACGCUGGCGGCAGGCCUAACACAUGCAAGUCGAGCGGAUGAAGGGAGCUUGCUCCUGGAUUCAGCGGCGGACGGGUGAGUAAUGCCUAGGAAUCUGCCUGGUAGUGGGGGAUAACGUCCGGAAACGGGCGCUAAUACCGCAUACGUCCUGAGGGAGAAAGUGGGGGAUCUUCGGACCUCACGCUAUCAGAUGAUCCUAGGUCGGAUUAGCUAGUUGGUGGGGUAAAGGCCUACCAAGGCGACGAUCCGUAACUGGUCUGAGGGGAUGAUCAGUCACACUGGAACUGAGACACGGUCCAGACUCCUACGGGAGGCAGCAGUGGGGAAUAUUGGACAAUGGGCGAAAGCCUGAUCCAGCCAUGCCGCGUGUGUGAAGAAGGUCUUCGGAUUGUAAAGCACUUUAAGUUGGGAGGAAGGGCAGUAAGUUAAUACCUUGCUGUUUUGACGUUACCAACAGAAUAAGCACCGGCUAACUUCGUG
rnacentral:rRNA from 1 species